AAAAUCUUUAAUAAUCAGAUUAUGUAAGUAAUAGUACAAAAAAUUAUCAUUACCUUAAAUCGUACAAAAUAUAAAUUUAUCAUCUAAAAUUUUGAAGUUCGAAAAUUUUGUAUUACCAGUUUUAAGUUUGGUGUCAGCUGACGUUUAAUUUGAGAACUCUUUUCUAAAUCUUCGUUUUUGAGCCUCUGGAACUCCUUGGAUGGCUCUCCAACAAUCAAGCUUCCUCGUCUUGUAUUUCCUUCUCAUGUGUAAGCCCACUCUCUUUCUAUUUCUGCUUUUUCGCUUUGGUUGAUAUCUGAACGUCUGUUGCUUCCGCAAUUGUCUGAUUCUUCACUUUCCUAUUCAAUCCUACGCGGUUUUUUUGUUUUCUUUCACCACCCCACUAUUCCUGUUCCCCCAAAACCGCCAAAGAUUUAUCCUUUUUGGUUUCCCAGAUGGAGAAAGAGCCCCUACUGUCAAAUUACAGCCCAAGAAGGAGAACGUCUCAACUGUCAUCGUUGCUCUCCACUCUCCCCGAGCAUGAUGAAGUCUCUCUACCUAU
rnacentral:misc_RNA from 1 species